rnacentral:rRNA from 1 species
AUGCAUAGGAAUCUACCUAGUAGUAUAGGAUAGCCACUAGAAAUGGUGGGUAAUACUGUAUAAUCCCUGCGGGGGAAAGAUUUAUCGCUAUUGGAUGAGCCUAUGUUAGAUUAGCUAGUUGGUAGGGUAAAGGCCUACCAAGGCGAUGAUCUAUAGCUGGUCUGAGAGGAUGAUCAGCCACACUGGAACUGAGAUACGGUCCAGACUCCUACGGGAGGCAGCAGUGGGGAAUAUUGGACAAUGGGCGCAAGCCUGAUCCAGCUAUGCCGCGUGAGUGAGGAAGGCCUUAGGGUUGUAAAACUCUUUCAGUGGGGAAGAUAAUGACGGUACCCACAGAAGAAGUCCCGGCAAACUCCGUGCCAGCAGCCGCGGUAAUACGGAGGGGGCAAGCGUUGUUCGGAAUUAUUGGGCGUAAAGGGCAUGUAGGCGGUUUGGUAAGUUAAAGGUGAAAUGCCAGGGCUUAACCCUGGAGCUGCUUUUAAUACUGCCAGACUUGAGUCCCGAAGAGGAUAGCGGAAUUCCUAGUGUAGAGGUGAAAUUCG